CAGUAGAGAAUAUUGUGCAAUAUACGGCAGUAUGACACAGAGAGCACACGCCCUCUUGGCCUGUCCAACUAAGUGCCAGCAGACGCGGUUAGACUUAGGGGCCAAGCCUUUAUGAGCAAAGGGGCGUAAAGGGUGUGUAGGCCGACUGCCCCACCCCCCCCAAGGUGGUAAAUGGAAUUUUUCUGUAGCGGUAGAAUGUGCGGAUAGAAAAUAGAACCCCAAAAGCAUAAGCAAUUUACCGCGGGGCGGGAGGGGGGCCCCCUGGGGCGCCCCCCGGGCUACGGGCUGAAACACGAGGGUGUGGGGAACAAACAGGAUUAGAGACCCUGGUAGUCCACACUGUAAACGAUGGAGAAAAUGCGAAUGCAGCCCCGAAAGGCAGCAAUCUCCCGCCUGAGUAGUACGAUCGCAAGAUUAAAAUUCAAAAAAUUUGGCUGUUCACCGUUUCGAUUAGAGGAGCGUGUAGUUUAAUUCGAUAAACCGCGAGAUACCUUACCCAAACUUGAAUCCUUGAGGAUUCCAAGGAAUCCUUAUGGACCGGUAUUGCAUGGCCGUCGUCAGUUCGUGUAUGAAACCUUAAACGGACCCAACCCGAGGAUUAGCCGCGGAUGAAGUCAGGUCUUAUGGUCCCAAUGUUUGGGGAUAAUAUGCGCUACAUUUUCUUAUACAAUGGGAAACCUGGGAGGUGAAACCCAAAAGUGAGAGUUCGGUAGGCUAUUGGAAGAUGGCCGAAAGUUGAAUUUAAUAGUAAUCGGAAAGUAUAGCGUUCCGGUGAAAUGGUCUAGGUGUUAGCACAAAUCGCCCGUCACCUUAACUUAGGAUGAUGGUUCGGACGCCGCCGCGCCCCC
rnacentral:rRNA from 1 species